rnacentral:rRNA from 1 species
AAACUUUCAACAAUGGAUCUCUUGGCUCUCGCAUCGAUGAAGAACGCAGCGUAAUGCGAUAAGUAAUAUGAAUUGCAGAAUUC